GCAAUCUGCCCUAAAGACUGGGAUACCACUUGGAAACAGGUGCUAAUACCGGAUAACAACAUGAAUCGCAUGAUUCAAGUUUGAAAGGCGGCGCAAGCUGUCACUUUAGGAUGAGCCCGCGGCGCAUUAGCUAGUUGGUGGGGUAAAGGCCUACCAAGGCAAUGAUGCGUAGCCGAGUUGAGAGACUGAUCGGCCACAUUGGGACUGAGACACGGCCCAAACUCCUACGGGAGGCAGCAGUAGGGAAUCUUCCACAAUGGACGCAAGUCUGAUGGAGCAACGCCGCGUGAGUGAAGAAGGUUUUCGGAUCGUAAAGCUCUGUUGUUGGUGAAGAAGGAUAGAGGCAGUAACUGGUCUUUAUUUGACGGUAAUCAACCAGAAAGUCACGGCUAACUACGUGCCAGCA
rnacentral:rRNA from 1 species